rnacentral:lncRNA from 1 species
CCAUCACUCAACUGACUGAGCCACCCAGGCAUCCCCUUCCCCUUUUUUCCCUUAAGAAAAAGAAAACUGAGAUGGGAAGAGCACCCGAUUACUGACCUAGGGGCUGGCUUUAAGUCCAGGGUUAUCACUCGGCUAAGCUGUGUGACCCAGGACAAGCCACUUGCCUGUUCUAGGCUUUAAUUUCUCGGUCUGAAAAGAACAGAUCCCACCCCCCACCCCACCCCCACCCAGUUCUGUUCUGGCUCUAAGGUUCUGUGAUUCUCUGACUUCCUCUCUCAGGGACACUCAGGAGCCUGGCCAUAAUGUCCUUUCUCUUUAAACUCCAUGCCAGCUUUGAGAGGGUAAGCAGUUGUGAGAGCAAUGCCAAGUUAACCUGGAGUUUAGAACAUGAUCAUCAAACAGCCGCUGAUGAUGGAGGGCAUGAUGAUCUUGGAGAUGGUAAUUUGCCACAACCUUGAAGGAAACUUCAUGACUGAAGAGAUUUGUAUCUUUCUUGGAAAAAGGGGCAGGCAUUGGAUACAUUGGUCAAGAGGAUGCUAGCUGUUGUAACAGGGAGAUCCUGAAAUCACAGCCGCUUAAUUCAGUAAGACUUCACGCUUCUGUCACGUAGUCUAACAGCAUGGGGACGGAGGUGGAGUGCUGU